GAGCACUUGCUGGACGAGCGCUCGUGCAGCCGCCGUGGCUUCAUUCAAAGCGACUAUACUUCGUCUCACCUUAGUAUGGACUAUUGUUAGCCGCGCGUGCUAAAAGCGCGAGCUAGUCGCUUUGAAUGAAGCCACGGCGGCUGCACGAGCGCUCGUGCAGCAAGUGCUCUAG
rnacentral:pre_miRNA from 1 species